rnacentral:tRNA from 1 species
GGUAGCUAGCUCAGUGGUAGAGUGCAUGUCUUAUAUUCAUGUGGCCCUUGAUUUGAUCCCAAGUAUCA